AUUGAACGCUGGCGGCAGGCCUAACACAUGCAAGUCGAGCGGAUGAAGGGAGCUUGCUCCUGGAUUCAGCGGCGGACGGGUGAGUAAUGCCUAGGAAUCUGCCUGGUAGUGGGGGAUAACGUCCGGAAACGGGCGCUAAUACCGCAUACGUCCUGAGGGAGAAAGUGGGGGAUCUUCGGACCUCACGCUAUCAGAUGAGCCUAGGUCGGAUUAGCUAGUUGGUGGGGUAAAGGCCUACGAAGGCGACGAUCCGUAACUGGUCUGAGAGGAUGAUCAGUCACACUGGAACUGAGACACGGUACAGACUCCUACGGGAGGCAGCAGUGGGGAAUAUUGGACAAUGGGCGAAAGCCUGAUCCAGCCAUGCCGCGUGUGUGAAGAAGGUCUUCGGAUUGUAAAGCACUUUAAGUUGGGAGGAAGGGCAGUAAGUUAAUACCUUGCUGUUUUGACGUUACCAACAGAAUAAGCACCGGCUAACUUCGUG
rnacentral:rRNA from 1 species